rnacentral:rRNA from 1 species
AGAGUUUGAUCCUGGCUCAGGAUGAACGCUGGCGGCGUGCUUAACACAUGCAAGUCGAACGAAGCACUUUAUUUGAUUUCUUCGGAAUGAAGACUUUGUGACUGAGUGGCGGACGGGUGAGUAACGCGUGGGUAACCUGCCUCAUACAGGGGGAUAACAGUUAGAAAUGACUGCUAAUACCGCAUAAGACCACAGCACCGCAUGGUGCAGGGGUAAAAACUCCGGUGGUAUGAGAUGGACCCGCGUCUGAUUAGGUAGUUGGUGGGGUAACGGCCUACCAAGCCGACGAUCAGUAGCCGACCUGAGAGGGUGACCGGCCACAUUGGGACUGAGACACGGCCCAAACUCCUACGGGAGGCAGCAGUGGGGAAUAUUGCACAAUGGGGGAAACCCUGAUGCAGCGACGCCGCGUGAGCGAAGAAGUAUUUCGGUAUGUAAAGCUCUAUCAGCAGGGAAGAAAAUGACGGUACCUGACUAAGAAGCACCGGCUAAAUACGUGCCAGCAGCCGCGGUAAUACGUAUGGUGCAAGCGUUAUCCGGAUUUACUGGGUGUAAAGGGAGCGUAGACGGCUGUGUAAGUCUGAAGUGAAAGCCCGGGGCUCAACCCCGGGACUGCUUUGGAAACUAUGCAGCUAGAGUGUCGGAGAGGUAAGUGGAAUUCCCAGUGUAGCGGUGAAAUGCGUAGAUAUUGGGAGGAACACCAGUGGCGAAGGCGGCUUACUGGACGAUGACUGACGUUGAGGCUCGAAAGCGUGGGGAGCAAACAGGAUUAGAUACCCUGGUAGUCCACGCCGUAAACG